GAGGUCUGGGGGUCUGAGGACGCCGGUUCUGCUUCUCAGGGACCACGUUGCUCUACCUUCCGUGGCGGUUGGUUCUUCGGGGUCAGGUGGGGGCAGGGGGGAGUCAGAAAUCAGACUCUCACUGUCCCGCACCCCCCACCCCCACCCCCAAGCUGGAACUUUCAUCAGGCAGGACAUUUCUCGCUCUUGAGUUCCCUCUGCUGGAGUUCAGGGCUCCGCGCGGCAGGCAAGCCGUCAGCACUUUCUCAUGAAGGAGAACGGCGCGGAUCCUGGCUACCGAACAAACUCAAACACACCAAAGAUGGUGGGAUGUGGUCCCAGAGGGCCUCGGGAAGCAGCACAGGGUCUCUCCGAGGGAUGACGCCUCUGGGCGGAAAACGAUGCUCCAGGAACUCGGUUUCUGCAGCUCCCAUCACUGCUGGCUUCCGUCUGUUGCACAGAAACCAAUCCAAGUGAAACCCAAGCAAAUACCAGGUGCCAGUGGGAGCCCAGUAACAGUCGUGGAGGAAACUGGGGAAACUGGGUAAAGAUGGCCAGCCGGACCCCAGCGGUGGUGAGAAGGCUAACUUCAGUAGAAACAUUGUGUCCAACCUGUAACUCAAGACUCCGACCGCGCACUCAAGCACUCGUGUGUAAUUGCUGUGUGAGACUAGAAAGAGGUGGCCGGGGACUCACCCUUGUGCGGAUCCGGGCCAGGCGCCCAGGUUAGGGUUCCACGAGAGAGAAGACCCAGCUGGGGUGUGGGGAGGGAGGAGUGUGCUUUGGCCCCUGGGGACUGGAAAUGAAAACCUCACCUUGAAGAUCCCCGAGGCCCGCCCA